UUGGUCCUCUGCUUGGGUCUCGUCAGCUUGGCAAAGACCACACCCACCAUGAACGCUUGAAGGAUGACCCCAGUGAUGCUCUGAAGACACAUCACCAGGACAGCCUCAGGGCAUUCCUCGGUGGUGUAUCUGAGGAGGAAAAGGGAUAGGUGUUAGUAGGAGGAGGGACAUCUGUUAGUAGGGAGAGAAGGGAUAGAGGGACAUCUGUUAGUAGGGAGAAGAGAAGGGAUAGGUGUUAGUAGGAGGAGGGACAUCUGUUAGUAGGGAGAGAAGGGAUAGAGGGACAUCUGUUAGUAGGGAGAAGAGAAGGGAUAGGUGUUAGUAGGAGGAGGGACAUCUGUUAGUAGGGAGAGAAGGGAUAGAGGGACAUCUGUUAGUAGGGAGAAGAGAAGGGAUAGGUGUUAGUAGGAGGAGGGACAUCUGUUAGCAGGGAGAGAAGGGAUAGAAGGACAUCUGUUAGUAGGGAGAGGAGAAGGGAUAGGUGUUAGUAAGAGGAGGGACAUCUGUUAGUAGGGAGAAAGGGGACAGCUGUUAGUAGAAGGAGGGAUGCUGUUAGUAGGGGAAGAAGGGACAGCUGUUAGUAGGAGGAGGGACAUCUGUUAGUAGGAAGAACCAAAACUAUAUGCGAGCUGGACAAAUCACAAAUCCAUAUACUGGCAGACAUUUCUUGCAUUCAAAAGUAAAAGUUUCCUAAGAUUCUGACGCCUUCCUAAUGGGGGGUUUUCUUCAUACUUGGGGAUUUUUUUUUUUUUUUUUUUUUUUUUUUUUUUUGAAACACGAUUCUGACCAAUUUCACGGGAGUUUGAGAAGCAGUUUUCGUAUGCUUGCCACCCCUUGACUCUUGAACAGGGCACGUUAGGUUAGGUUAGACUAGGUUAGGUUAGGUAAGGCUAGGCUAGGUUAGGUUAGGUUAGGUUAAGUUAGGUUAGGUUCACCCAAACUAGCAAGGGGUAAUUUUGAGUGGGAAUUACAAUGAGAGUAUUUUCCAGAACGCCCCGUGGUUAGUUUCGAAGGUAUAUGUCUUCACCCAGGGACCACACACCCGUAGAGAGAUUGGAAAUAUGCCUCCCUUCCUCCCAACGCUUUCUCGUGUGAGGCAACCCCGCAAACUUUAUUAUGACUUGGGGAAUCUUCAUAUUCUUGGGAAACACGAUUCUGACCAAUUUCACGGGAGUUUGAGAAGCACAGUUUUGUGUUCCUGUCAGUAGGCAACCCCGCAAACUUUUCUAUUACUUGGGGAAUCUUCAUAUUCUUGGGAAACACGAUUCUGACCAAUUUCACGGGAGUUUGGGAAGCACAGUUUUGUGUUCCUGUCAGUAGGCAACCCCGCAGACUUUUCUAUUACUUGGGGAAUCUUCAUAUUCUUGGGAAAAAACGAUUCUGACCAAUUUCACGGGAGUUUGGGAAGCACAGUUUUGUGUUCCUGUCAGUAGGCAACCCCCCAAACUCUUAUAUUACUUGGGGAACCUUCAUAUUCUUCGGAAACACGAUUCUGACCAAUUUCACGGGAGUUUGGGAAGCACAGUUUUGUAUUCCUGUCAGUAGGCAACCCCGCAAACUCUUAUAUUACUUGGGGAACCUUCAUAUUCUUCGGAAACACGAUUCUGACCAAUUUCACGGGAGUUUGAGAAGCACAGUUUUGUAUUCCAGUCCGUCCCUGUUUAGACGCAGAGCCACGUGGGUGUGUAGCUUCCAUCGCUUUCUCGUGUGAGGCAACCCCGCAAACUGGUUAAGAGCUGACCAGACUCGCAAAACCCCGCCAAGGAGACCCCGAAUCCAUAAGGAAGGAAGACACGUAGGCCACACACCUCAAGGAGAAAAACAACAGAUUACGCCAUGAUUGUAGUUUGCAUAUCUACUCUCCUCCAUUAUUUCUCUUCCCUUUACCCUCCCUUCCCUUCUUCUUCCCUAUUUUCUCCCUUUCCUUUCCUGUUCCACCCACCUUCUCUUCCUAUGCUUAACUACUCAAAUCUAUUUUUUCUCUUCCCUUCUUCCUUCCAUCUUCCCUACUUUCUCCUUUUCCUUUCUUUCUUUCCUUUCCUCUUCAUUCCACUUUCUCUUCCUAUCCUCUUCGAAUGCUUAACUACUCUCCUUCAUUCUUCCUCUUCCCUUUUACUAUCCCUUCCCUUCUUCUUCCUUCCAUCUUCCCUACUUUCUCCUUUUCCUUUCUUUCUUUCCUUUCCUCUUCAUUCCACUUUCUCUUCCUAUCCUCUUCGAAUGCUUAACUACUCUCCUUCAUUCUUCCUCUUCCCUUUUACUAUCCCUUCCCUUCUUCUUCCUUCUAUCUUCCCUACUUUCCCCAUUUCCUUUCCUUCCUUUUCUCUUCCAAUCACCUUCUCUUCCUAUGCUCCUCGAAUGCUUAACUAUACUUUCCUCCAUUAUUUAUCUUCCCUUUUACCCUCCCUUCCCUUCUUCUUCCUUCCAUCUUCCCUACUUUCCCCCUUUUCCUUUCCUUCCUUUUCUCUUCCAAUCACCUUCUCUUCCUAUGCUCCUCGAAUGCUUAACUAUACUUUCCUCCAUUAUUUCUCUUCCCUUUUACUAUCCCUUCCCUUCUUCCUCCUUCCAUCUUCCCUACUUUCCCCCUUUUCCUUUCUUUCUUUCCUUUCCUCUUUCAUCCACAUUCUCCUCUUUUUCCCUUUCAUUUCCCUUCUUCCUAGUUAAAUAAUUCGAAGCUCCAUCGUCUGACAAGGCUUUCGUAUAAGUGAUGUAGGUAUUUCCAUGGGUAGUUUUAUGACCCUGGUGGUAGUGUGACCCUUCAGCUGUACUAUUUAACGUGGGAAAACUCAUGAGAACUCUUUUUAUCUCCUAUUCGGACUUUGGAAAUUGAGAGAGGAGGAGGAGGCGUCUGAAAAUGUCGACCUAUUUUUUCAUUCUCCUUUCUCGUACUGAAGUGACAUAAGUUCCGACGUUGCCAGAUUGUCGUACUCGGCCUCGUCUGCCAAUUUCCGACCCAAAAAAGUGCCUCCUCGACCCCAAUAAUUGCCUUCAUAUACAGUUAUCAUUAGAAUGGUUAAUUACUGGUGUGUUUUGGUAAUAGUUAUGGCUCAGAAACCGGUAAAUACGAGGCUACGAGUACGAUAAUCUGGCAACGGUGGACUCAUAACAGUACUUCAAAUUAUAUAUCAAGACAGUCAGACAUUUAUCACUUACCACUCAGACAGAAAUAAAUAACGCCACUAGACCAGAACUAUAUUUUUCGUUGUCCUUCCUCGAGCAAAGUGUCUUAACUGAGAAUUGGAACCUAUUUUUAGGCUUGGAUUCUCAACACGCGCGAUCUGAACACACUAUUAGAAUUUAAGUCGUUUUUGGUGUCGAAAUUGAGAGAGAGAGAGAGAGAGAGAGAGAGAGAGAGAGAGAGAGAGAGAGAGAGAGAGA